rnacentral:rRNA from 1 species
AAACUAACAAGGAUUCCCUUAGUAGCGGCGAGCGAAGCGGGAUGAGCUCAAAUUUGAAAUCUGGCGUCUUUCAGGCGUCCGAGUUGUAAUCUAUAGAAGCGUUUUCUGUGCCUGACCAUGUCCAAGUCCCUUGGAACAGGGUAUCAAAGAGGGUGACAAUCCCGUACUUGACAUGACCACCAGUGCUCUGUGAUACGUUUUCGACGAGGCGAGUUGUUUGGGAAUGCAGCUCAAAAUGGGUGGUAAAUUCCAUCUAAAGCUAAAUAUUGGCGAGAGACCGAUAGCGAACAAGUACCGUGAGGGAAAGAUGAAAAGCACUUUGGAAAGAGAGUUAAACAGUACGUGAAAUUGUUGAAAGGGAAACGAUUGAAGUCAGUCGUGUCUAUUGGUUUCAGCCGGUUCUGCCGGUGUAUUACCUUUAGACGGGUCAACAUCAGUUUUGGACGGCACAUAAGAGCAGUUUGAAUGUAGCACCUCCGGGUGUGUUAUAGCUUUCUGUUGCAUAUGCUGUCCGAGACUGAGGACUGCAGCUCGCCUUUUAGGCCGGGGUUCGCCCACGUUCGAGCUUAGGAUGUUGACAUAAUGGCUUUAAACGAC